AUUGAACGCUGGCGGCAUGCUUUACACAUGCAAGUCGAACGGUAACAGGCCACAAGGUGCUGACGAGUGGCGAACGGGUGAGUAAUGCAUCGGAACGUGCCCAGUCGUGGGGGAUAACGCAGCGAAAGCUGUGCUAAUACCGCAUACGAUCUAUGGAUGAAAGCGGGGGACCGUAAGGCCUCGCGCGAUUGGAGCGGCCGAUGUCAGAUUAGGUAGUUGGUGGGGGAAAGGCGCACCAAGACGACGAUCUGUAGCUGGUCUGAGAGGACGACCAGCCACACUGGGACUGAGAGACGGCCCAGACUCCUACGGGAGGCAGCAGUGGGGAAUUUUGGACAAUGGGCGCAAGCCUGAUCCAGCAAUGCCGCGUGCAGGAAGAAGGCCUUCGGGUUGUAAACUGCUUUUGUACGGAACGAAACGGUCUGGGUUAAUACCCUGGGCUAAUGACGGUACCGUAAGAAUAAGCACCGGCUAACUACGUGCCAGCCGCCGCAGUAACAC
rnacentral:rRNA from 1 species